rnacentral:rRNA from 1 species
UACGAAGGGGGCUAGCGUUGCUCGGAAUCACUGGGCGUAAAGCGCACGUAGGCGGCUUGUUAAGUCAGGGGUGAAAUCCUGGAGCUCAACUCCAGAACUGCCUUUGAUACUGGAGAGCUCGAGUCCGGAAGAGGUGAGUGGAACUCCGAGUGUAGAGGUGAAAUUCGUAGAUAUUCGGAAGAACACCAGUGGCGAAGGCGGCUCACUGGUCCGGUACUGACGCUGAGGUGCGAAAGCGUGGGGAGCAAACAGG